rnacentral:sRNA from 1 species
AUGAAAGGGCGGACUGUGAACAUCUGUCACCCCAUUCAUCAACAAAGUUAAUUUGGCUGAUCAGGCUGGCUAGGUGGGUGUCCCCUUCCUCCUUCACUGCUAAAUAUGUGUCCCUCCAGAAGCUGCACAGUAGGGCAAAGAGGAUGUUCUCCCUCUAGUAGAGGGAGGACCCAUCUUUGGUCAAGGGUAUAUGAGUAGAUGUGCUCCACUGCUAUAAUCUCCAAACAAGCUCUCACACUCACAGUCAAAUCACAAGCCCUACGAAAGCACAGGCCAACACAGAUGGGUAUGU